GGAACCUAGUGCGAUGUAUUGAGGUUGUGCUGUAGAGCAUUAUUGGGGGGGAUCUAUGUGUUGAGAAGCUUGGUGAAAUUAUUGGAUAGAGAUUGAAAAUAUUUAUUUGAGCAUUUUUUAAAUUAUUCAAUUCAAAUUAGAUUAUUCAAAUUACAGGAGAUGGAGGAGGUUAAUUAUACAUUGUUUUCUUGGUUUUAUAACUUUUUGUAUCCAGUUAGUGCAGAUUAUUUCAAUUUUCCAUGAUAACAAGCUAGCUACCAGUUCGAGUGUGCACCUUUCGCCGGCAACGCUACCUCAAAUUGUUUUUACUUUUUGUUGAACCCUUUUCAUUCUCUGGGGCACACGGAAAAGGUGCGAAUUAAAACCGAGGUCGACUGCCUGAGAUCAGUUUCAUGAAGAAAGAUGAAAAGGUGAUGGCGUUCAAUACCAAUUGCUAUCAAAAGUGUAGCUGGUUAACAGGGAGCCUUUCAUCAAUCCGUCUGUAUUUUUGCUUUUUGAGAAUUCUGAGCCUUGGGCGAUAGCAGGGUACAGUGCCCUGAAGAACAUUGAUCAUUCAGCUAAAUGGCAAAACAAAAGCAGAGAGCAUAACGUUAUAAGAUUCAAGCUUCUGGGAAAAAGCCGCAUCGACCGUGUCGAAGGUCUGCCUAUUCAAAAUGCGCAACACAACGAGAAAGUAAGAAGAAACAGGGAUAUUCUCAAGCGGUUUAUCAACACCACUGCGUUUUUGUGCAUGCAAAAAUUGGGAGGGCACAACGAGAGGGAAUGUUCCGCUAACUAACAAGUGCAACCACAAGGAGCUUGUAGCAGUAAUUGCACGUUUCGAUGCUUUACUUGCUGAACAUAUGGAACUUUCAGUCUUUUCUGGGAUCAUUCAUUAAAGAGAGAGGUUGACGCAGGGCGCUCAAUUCUAUCUAUGUCUCUUCCUGUUCCCUGAUUGAAGAAGUGACCACUCCACUCCACUGCGAUUGUCAACUCUCUCCUGACAUGAACUGAAGCCACGUCUCAUGUUCCCACUCAUCCACUGUUACAUUUAAUGAUUCUUCUCCAACCACUUCAAAUCCUGUCCUGCACAGAAGUCAAGUCACUGAAAACCUCAAUUCAUGCCUUAUACCCUCAUUCAAUCACUGCUGUGAUCCCUUCCCAAAACGGUGUAUGUAGCCCUCUCAUUCUCAUUCCCCAUAAUAUUGUACAAUAAAUGUCUUUACUAAAUUCUUUAGGUUAAAACAAUUACUCUGGCGAUUUUUGAAACACGCUUUGACGUCUCCGUGUGUCUACAACGUGGGUUUCCUCAGUUUUUCAAGUCUCCAGCCUCCACUGAUCACAGUGCUAGCUGUGCCACUAGAGAUCCUUGUUCGAGUCCAGGCUCAGUCGAAAAAGGAAUAAGAAAAUACAAUAGUUUCCAGAGGGGUGGGGUUGAUUCUCCUCCACAAAUCAAACAGAGAAAGGCAUCUAGAAUUAGCAUGCCAACAAGACUACAUUUUGUUGGUUCCAGGUAGGACUGUAUCAUAGCCACAGAGACAUUCCUGCAUAAAUGCCUGCAGGAGGAUGGAUGGGACUCCUCAUACAACAGCAACCUGUGGAAACCUGGAAACCUAUCUUACACAUGCCAGGAGGGAGCGAAAACCUCCAGUGCAAACAGCUACUCAAUUUGUUCUACAUAAAAACAUGCACUGUAGGCUAUGCAUGCAGAGUAGGGUUGAUUAUUUUUCCCGGUAUUUUACAAAUGUUCCAUCCCGAGAAUAAAUCACUUUUUAACCAGGGAACCUGGUGUAAUUCAAAAGCAUAUAAUUAGGCCUGUCUGGAUUUGAUUAGAGCUUUGAUCUAAAAUUAAAGCCUGAUGCUACCUGAGCCUGAUGAGCCAUACAUUAAAUACAUUUUAUGACCACAACAUUAAAGACAUUUAAUGAGCCCAAGCCCAAAGAAGCCCAAAUUAUUGUGCCAUUAUUCAAUACAUACAAGUGCAUUCUGAAAGUAUUCAGACUCUUUGACUUUUAACACAUUUUGUUAAAGUACAGCCUAAUUCUAAAAUGUAUUAAAUCAUUUUUUUCCCCUCAUCAAGCUACACACAAAACCCCAUAAUGACAAAGCAAAAACUGGUUUUUAGAAAUGUUUGCUGAUAUGACAGUGUUGGUAUUGCUGCUGUAAAAUAAUAUAUAUUGUAAUGUCAAUCUACGUAACAUAAUAAAAAAGUCCCCAUCAAAAUCCAUCAAUUUAAUCCAGUUUAAUAUUUUUGCAUAUUUGCUACGGGGAAGGAUGGCCAGCCACAUAGGAGGGUGAUUUUUUACUAAGGAGGAAAAGGAGGCCGUGCUGACCGAGAUGCAUGUUGGCCCUUCCUUUCUUCUGACGGGGAAUUGUCAAGGAGGUGGACAGCUGUGCAAGUGAAAUAACCUUUUGUUUAUCAAUCACAUUCUAUUAUAUCUGAAAUUAUUAUGAUUUCAAUGAAUGUUAUAUCAGAGAGCACACAAUGUUUAAAUGAGUUACUUUUAGCUUUAAAAAGGUUGGUAUCCUGUCUAGCCUGACAGAAGUUUGAGAGGGCAAAGACUGUGGCAGCGGAGUUGAAGCCCAUCAAAGUAGUUUCACCAUGGCACAUGAUCAGUAAGUGUCCCAAUUCAAAUUUAGCAGAUUUCAGUCAAAUCAAAGUUUAUUUGUCACGCACGCCGAAAACAACAGGUU